GAUCCUGGCUCAGAUUGAACGCUGGCGGCAGGCCUAACACAUGCAAGUCGAGCGGAUGAGAAGAGCUUGCUCUUCGAUUCAGCGGCGGACGGGUGAGUAAUACCUAGGAAUCUGCCUGGUAGUGGGGGACAACGUUUUGAAAGGGACGCUGAUACCGCAUACGCCCUACGGGGGCAAGCAGGGGACCUUCGGGCCUUGCGCUAUCAGAUGAGCCUAGGUCGGAUUAGCUAGUUGGUGAGGUAAUGGCUCACCAAGGCGACGAUCCGUAACUGGUCUGAGAGGAUGAUCAGUCACACUGGAACUGAGACACGGUCCAGACUCCUACGGGAGGCAGCAGUGGGGAAUAUUGGACAAUGGGCGAAAGCCUGAUCCAGCCAUGCCGCGUGUGUGAAGAAGGUCUUCGGAUUGUAAAGCACUUUAAGUUGGGAGGAAGGGCAUUAACCUAAUACGUUAGUGUUUUGACGUUACCGACAGAAUAAGCACCGGCUAACUCUGUGCCAGCAGCCGCGGUAAUACAGAGGGUGCAAGCGUUAAUCGGAAUUACUGGGCGUAAAGCGCGCGUAGGUGGUUCGUUAAGUUGGAUGUGAAAUCCCCGGGCUCAACCUGGGAACUGCAUCCAAAACUGGCGAGCUAGAGUAGGGCAGAGGGUGGUGGAAUUUCCUGUGUAGCGGUGAAAUGCGUAGAUAUAGGAAGGAACACCAGUGGCGAAGGCGACCACCUGGGCUCAUACUGACACUGAGGUGCGAAAGCGUGGGGAGCAAACAGGAUUAGAUACCCUGGUAGUCCACGCCGUAAACGAUGUCAACUAGCCGUUGGGAACCUUGAGAUUUUAGUGGCGCAGCUAACGCAUUAAGUUGACCGCCUGGGGAGUACGGCCGCAAGGUUAAAACUCAAAUGAAUUGACGGGGGCCCGCACAAGCGGUGGAGCAUGUGGUUUAAUUCG
rnacentral:rRNA from 1 species